rnacentral:rRNA from 1 species
AUUGAACGCUGGCGGAAUGCUUUACACAUGCAAGUCGAACGGCAGCACGGACUUCGGUCUGGUGGCGAGUGGCGAACGGGUGAGUAAUGUAUCGGAACGUGCCCAGUCGUGGGGGAUAACUACUCGAAAGAGUAGCUAAUACCGCAUACGAUCUGAGGAUGAAAGCGGGGGACCUUCGGGCCUCGCGCGAUGGGAGCGGCCGAUGGCAGAUUAGGGAGUUGGUGGGAUAAAAGCUUACCAAGCCGACGAUCUGUAGCUGGUCUGAGAGGACGACCAGCCACACUGGGACUGAGACACGGCCCAGACUCCUACGGGAGGCAGCAGUGGGGAAUUUUGGACAAUGGGCGAAAGCCUGAUCCAGCAAUGCCGCGUGCAGGAUGAAGGCCUUCGGGUUGUAAACUGCUUUUGUACGGAACGAAAAAGCUCCUUCUAAUACAGGGGGCCCAUGACGGUACCGUAAGAAUAAGCACCGGCUAACUACGUGCCAGCCGCCGCGGUAA